AGUCCGGAACAAAGGCCCCCUUGUCCUUCAUUACCGGCAUUUUAAGGUGGGCUCUCUAAGGAUACUGACGGCGACAAACCGGAGGAAGGAGGGGAUGACGUCAAGUCAUCUUGGCCCUUACGGCCUGGGCUACACCCGUGCUAGAGUGGCCGUUACAAAGGGUUGCCAAGCCGCGGGGUGGACCUAAUCCCAUAAAACCGAUCGUAGUCCGGAUCGCCCCCUGCUACUCGCCGGUUUGAAGUCGGAAUCUCUAUUAUUCGCGAAUCAUAAUGUCGCGGUAAAUACGUUCCCGGGCUUUGUACACACCGCCCGU
rnacentral:rRNA from 1 species